rnacentral:rRNA from 1 species
GACGAACGCUGGCGGCGUGCCUAACACAUGCAAGUCGAACGCGUGGCGGACGGGUGCGUAAUGUCUGGGAAACUGCCCGCUGGAGGGGGAUAACUUCUGGAACCGGUAGCUAAUACCGCAUACUAUCGGCUGAACCCAUAUGGGAUUAGCUAGUAGGUGGGGUAAAGGCUCACCUAGGCGACGAUCUCUAGCUGGUCUGAGAGGAUGAUCGGCCACACUGGGACUGAGACACGGCCCAGACUCCUACGGGAGGCAGCAGUGGGGAAUAUUGCACAAUGGGCGCAAGCCUGAUGCAGCCAUGCCGCGUGUAUGAAGAAGGCCUUCGGGUUGUAAAGUACUUUCAGCGAGGAGGCGUUACUCGCAGAAGAAGCACCGGCUAACUCCGUGCCAGCAGCCGCGGUAAUAC